UCAUCUUUUCAAUCGCUUCGUCUUCAACAAAGUCGAUUUCUCUGUAAUCUCUGUUACCCCCAGCUCUUCUCAAUCAAUCAAAUAUGCUCUUUAAUACCUUAUUUACUGUUUUGUUCUACCUCCCACUCUGUCUCAUCAUCUAUAAGUUGCUACCAGCUUCGUCGAGACUCUCUUCCAAGCAAACUCCAAAACCUCUUUCCCUGUUACAGUGCCGUAAUUUUCUACAAGAGGACGACAUCUCAAAGAUCCGUCAUGAGUUUGAUCAGGCGAUACAGAGAUAGCUUCGUGGCGGCUCCAGAAUUUAAUUUAUACUCUGAUUCAGAUUUAAUUAUCUGAGCAGAAAGACCUUAGAACUAGAGGAAUAACCAAAAGAUUCACGUUGCUAUAUUUUAAAUGGCAGUGAGGUAACGUUGGUCUUAUUGAACUGCAGAUUCUUAAUCCACGUUGAGUGACUUGAGUCUCUGAUGCGAAAUUCAAACAGUGAAUUCAGCGUGGUAAUAUCACAGAUGAAGGAACAAGACUGUGCAUCCAGUUCUCAUGUCUUUACCGUUGGAAAGAAGUGGAAAAGUUGUCUUAGGAUGGAUCACAAAGGCUACAUCCAUGCAGUUAUUCAGCUCUGUGGAGUUUGAGGCAAUAAUAAUAAGGCUCUUGCCAAGGCAUUGUACCGACAACCAAGAAAAGAACAUAACACAGCCAUAGUCCUUGCUCACAGUUUCGAUUGCAUUGUAAGCAAAACUAUCCAGAAUGUUAAAUAUUUCUGUUAAAGUUAUAUUCUCAGACAUUGGAAAUCACUGUGGUUUUUACACAAUACAGUUCUAAACAUGGGGGAUUACAUGAGAGACGUACUUAUAUCUGCUGUUGCACCAGUUUUUAUGUUUUCUGUGUCGUUUGUUUUUUUCAGCCUUUGAGGCUCUGUUAUCUGUUUGCGAGCGACACCAUUCCUUUGCAUCCUUAAUACUCUUGAGGAUGAUCUCCUGGUCUGUGAAAGUCCUAUUCUCAAACACAAGCUUAUUUCUGGCUUCCCAUAAAUUCCAGAGAACCCAAGGCCACAAAGGAGAGAUUAAACCAGCUAAUUACAUGAGACCCACAUUCAUUUAAAAGAAUCUGACGUAGAGGAAAAGUCUGCCAUUAUAUAUAAUAAUACGAUAGCAGUGCCAUUGAACCUUGUUAAAGGAAAGACAAAAAAAUAAUAACAACGAAAUGUGUCUUUUUCACUUUUUAUUUAACAAAAACUUUAACUC